rnacentral:rRNA from 1 species
CCUACGGGAGGCAGCAGUGAGGAAUAUUGGUCAAUGGGCGCGAGCCUGAACCAGCCAAGUAGCGUGAAGGAUGACUGCCCUACGGGUUGUAAACUUCUUUUAUAAAGGAAUAAAGUGAGGCACGUGUGCCUUUUUGUAUGUACUUUAUGAAUAAGGAUCGGCUAACUCCGUGCCAGCAGCCGCGGUAAUACGGAGGAUCCGAGCGUUAUCCGGAUUUAUUGGGUUUAAAGGGAGCGUAGGUGGGUUGUUAAGUCAGUUGUGAAAUUUUGCGGCUCAACCGUAAAAUUGCAAUUGAUACUGGCAGCCUUGAGUACAGUUGAGGUAGGCGGAAUUGGGGGUGUAGCGGUGAAAUGAUUAGAUAUAACGAAGAACUCCGAUUGCGAAGGCAGCUUACUAAACUGCCACUGACAUUGAUGCUCGAAAGUGUGGGUAUAAAACAGGAUUAGAUACCUGGUAGUC